AUUCAGCUGACGAGUCCUAAAUAGGACGAAACGCGAGUCAAACUGGAU
rnacentral:hammerhead_ribozyme from 1 species